GAACUUUGUCCUACAGAUUCUGGGACUCCAAAGCUAAAAUACUCACUUCUGAGCCACCUGUGAUUUUCUCACUCUGCAGAGCCAUGUCCCCCUCCAUGAAGUAAUUGAGGAGGAAUCUUCAGCCUGAAUCUCUACUAUCUCAUGAUAUGCUGCAGGGAGAUGUGGUCUUCAGAUCUCCUAGGAACAGUAGAAGGAGAAAUUCCAGUUUGGAUUCUAUGAAGCUGUCCAUGAGGAGGUUUCAUCAAUACUCACUAAGGAAAGUUAGCAGUCAGUUUUUAAAACAAUCAGUGUUUUCCUCCCCAAAGUCUUUAACAUCUAAUUCCCCAACCAGAUCUCCAGGUCAGAAUGACAUCUACUUUAGAAUUGCUUCCACACAGAAAUUAAAAAAAAAAAAAGUUGUAGGACAGGAAAGGGAAAAAAGAAACAUAUUCCAGCAUCCCCAAGGAACAGCUUUUGAUACAUAGCCAGCCUGAGAAGGACAUAAAGAAGGCAAAUCCAUUCUUCCAUGGUGCUUCCAGUUGCCCAAAUAUUUUGAGGAACCACUUUGUGCCCCCAGUAUCUUUUCUACCUGUAACUUUUAGUGCCAUGAGUGACAGGUAGGUGCUUUCUAAGUACAAUAUGAAAAGAUAGUUUUGAAAUUUGGGUUCCAUGCAAUAAUUUUCUUUUUUUCCCAGAGAUAUCUACAGAGCAAAAUGCAGAACAUGUGGAAGUCACAAGCUGAGUAAAUUACUCUUACCUUGCUUCAGCUGUCCUUAAAUUUAAUGUGCAUCCAUUUGUCACUCUAAAAUGUGAUUUGUAUAUGCCAGAAAAAACUGAGAGACAGCAAAAUGUCAUGGAAGACAUAAUGCCCUGGAGGAGUUUUCCCAUUUCUAAAAUGUCAUGUUCUCAAGGUGAAAGCUCGCAGAGUUUGAACAGAGCCCUUGAAAAAUAUUUCCAGUCUGUGUUCCAAGAUAAGCUCUUUGUAAUGCCUUAUGAUGAUAAUCCACCUAAGGAAGUAAAUUACUGGGGAGAACAGGAGAGAAUUCUAACAGAUUUUAGACUCAGUAUGUUUGGCAGACUUAUAAAUAUGGUUUGUAAUUUCUAUGCACUCCUCCAAAUUUCUCCUAAGCUUACCUAAUAAUAAUGUAAUCUGUGAUUUGAAUGUCAUGGCAUCCUUCUCCAAAGCUAGUAUGUCCUUUAGUAAGAGGGGUAAGCUGAUUAAAUCCUACACUUGAAGGAAAAUAAAGAUACAAACUUGUGAACAGAUUCAAGGACUGUAAUCUCUGUAAU